UACCGCUCAUAUUGCUCGCGCCGUGUGUAUGAGAGCUGGUGUCUGCGUGUUCUGCGCUGCCUGGCGCCGUAGCUGCAUGCGCUCACCCGCCCGCACAUCGGUCGUUGGAUAUCCCAUCUGGUCGGGAAUCGAACACCCAAACCGCACCGCCACUGACGUGAAGAGGCAGGCAGGAACUAUCCAGCCAUAUGCGUGAAACACAAGCCAAUUUAGCUUUCUUUUUUUUGUUUGUUAUCAAAUAGCUUACUGAUCCUCGGCAGCUGCUUAAUAGGCGCAAGAGCGCCUUUAGCAGUUUGGGACAGUUUGAACAAGUAGUACUAUAUAAUAAUGUUGUUGUUUUUUUGUUUAUUAACAAUUUGAGGAUUCUGUGCCUCCAUUGUCAUUGUACCGAGGUCGUUAUCAUAAUAGCAGUAACGAUAGAAAAAAAAAACAAGUUGACUUCCCGGUGAGAAGUCUCCGAGGAAGAAAUUGAAUCAAGUUAAACAGUGUGUGUCUACGAAGCGCUAGAAAUAAUGUGCGCUUGGUUACCCAUUUGAUGUUUUCGAUACUGUGGGAUGUUGGUUGUUUUUCGUUGGCUUCGCGUGAAGUACCAUUGAUCUGUGUGAUAGCAUACGAUACGUUGGUAAAUCUGUGGAGUUUAUUAGUAAUGCUACGUUGGUCUAUGACAAUUAAACAGCAACUCGAAUUGAGAGACAUCGCAUGAAAGCUAUGGUAAGUUCGAGAGAAAUGCUGUACAACAAAACGUUUGUUGAAUUCCGUUCCCGCAUUUAAAUAUGAUACACCAGGUGGGGAAAGAGAGAAGCUUAUUUGUAUGGAGUACUUGUUUCAAGUGUAUAGUAAGUGUUGCUCGUGCUUUUCGUCUAUUAAGUGUCAGUGUAGAAUUGUGUAAGAUCCACAAAGCAUUUGCGUAUAGUUGCAAUGGACAUGGGUUUCUGAAAUGAUUGCGUAACACGGAAUCAUUUAAAUUAUGAAAGAGAAGGGGAAACUAUUUUAGCAAGUAAGUCUCGGUCCGUUUGUGAUUAUUAGCAAAACACUGUAAAUUGUUUAAGAAAUUCUGGUUAGACACUCUUGAACUACUCAGCGGUUGAAUGACACCUAGACGUAUUACUUAUCUUCCUUAGGAUACUUCAUUUUGACAGAUAGAUACUGUGAUUAUUACUGGACGUUUUUCUACCCGAUACACGCUGUGCUGUCAUUUCAUGGUAACAAUAUAAUGUGGAUGCUAGAUCUGACGAAAAAUAUCACUGCACUUUAUAUUUAGAUGGUAAUCGAAAAUCAGUAGGCUGUGCUAUUACUAAAUCGUGCCAUCUCUGCCUCCUCACAGAAUUAAACACGUUUCAUUUCUUUGAGCACCUAGGACAAAGGUUCUUUACCGAGACAUUUUUAGGUGAAACAUUGUACUUGUGAAAGUGUUGGUCGAGAGAGAUGCGAUACUUCCGUUAUAUCGAGUGUUGGUAAUUCAGACCAAACUAAACAAAAGGAACUCUGAAAGAUAAGCCAAAAAGCGUGUUCAAAAUUGCCCGAAAGUCGGCCAUAUCUGUGAGCUGUAAAAACUACAAAGGUUUCAUGAUAGCGAAAGUCUAUAUCCUACAAUUAGCUAACACCUUGUUUCCUAGCAAAAAGGUGUAAGUCAAAAAGAGAAGACUGAAAGCGAACCGUCCCUGCAGUGUCCGCCAUUCAAUAGAAUGUCGUCAAUAAAACACGAAGCAGAUAAAAGCAGGAUAAGUAUUUGUUUAAUAAUAAUAUUUAUCUGUGAUGGUAAAUAGGGGAUCUUUAAUAACAACUAUUUCGAUAAAGUACCGUUUUCAUAAUAUGUAUGUAUAAGUAUGGAUAAUUGGUUUAUGAAAAUGUUGGCUUGUAUCAGCGACCGUAACGCUGUAGCGACUGCAUCCGACCGUUGUGUUAUCGUUUCUCGUCGUUCAGUUACACCUACACAAUAUUUGACGACGUCCGCGAAUGAGAAAGGAAUUGUGUGCAUUCGGACUCCCGAACAAAAUGGAGGAAGCAUCAGCGUAACACCUACGUUGUACCAGCUAUUUUGCAAGAUUUAAGAGAUUCGUCUGUAAUAGGAGGUGCAGAAGCAAAUGAUACAGAGGAUAUGAACUGGUGCAUAAAAAGUGAUGGACACGACUUGGGAUAUCAGGCCGUUAGAAGUCUUAUGAGGAAGGGAAAGAUUUCUUAUAGGAAAGAACAAAUGCUACCAGUGUCAACCGGAGGAACAUGCGUGGACGAUGCGUGGCUACGAAGCCAAGCGUGCGUAUUGCAGGGCUCGCGUAGUAGAGUUUUAAACAUGUCAAGCGCAAGAAGUUGUGGCACACUUCUACCAUUCGAAGGUCUUCCAAAGGUAACCUGGAAAGGACAAAUGGAGGGACACGUAUUUGAAGGUUGCGUGGCUGCGAUGCCGAACUCGUUCACCUCUCAGCUUCUUUCGUAGUGUCAAAAGGGUCUCUGGAACUAGAAGUUGUAAGUCACUUCAGGCACCCGUGAUAAUCAUAAUCGAUUUUAAUACUUUGCUCUCGAAAACUCGGUGUUUAAUUGAUAACUUUCUUCUCGUAUAAAUAAAAAUAUCCAUUUCAUUUUAUGGGUUGAUGUUUCGGUACUAAGUUGAUGCGUGAUGGCUUUGAAUUAACUUACGCACAUAUGCUUGGUUCCAGUCUGAUUUCUGAGGAUAAUUAGUGCAAUGGCUGCUUGAUUCGAGUAAGAAAUCCAUAUUGUUUUGUCCCUGUACGAACGCAAUUAUUUAUUAUUUAAAUACACCGCGAAUUUAUACGUAACUUUAUACUGUAUGCGUAUGGUUUAGGCAGCCAAAUUAGUUUGCCAGCGAUUGAACAUCUAUAGCAAGAAGAUGCUGCUCUAUACAUUUAUUGUGGUGCUUUUAUGCGGAACGUAACUUUUCGAGUUCAUAAGGGAUGCUUUGAUGCGGCUUUUUUUCUACACAUUUGUUCGUUUUGUACGCAAGAUGCUCAUUGAUGACAGUCGUUGGCAUUACAAAACCAGCAAUAUAGUGGACUCUUUACAGAUAGACAUCGAAUUGUAAAGUUACGGCGCUGUAACGGUAUUUCACCCACAUUUCCAUAGAGCAAGUCAUUGUGGACAAAUCAUACUCUUAUGAAAUGCUUAGAUGAGAGUUCCGAGUAGUUUUGUUACAUGCGAAUCACGCCAAGAGACAAAGCCAUAAUUUGUAUAGGAUCAUUGCCCAUAGUAUGUCUAAGUACGUGUUCUAGCCAUGGUCUCGGCGUGAUAACCGAUGAAAUUGAUUACACUAAAUUACAUGGCAACAGAAGCCGAUACCUUUUAUUUUGACAGUGGUACCCGCGUUACGCACAAAUUGUCGCCGAAUGUCGACCGGAUGCUUCUAUUUUCAUUUCUUCAGUACCCUAGGUUUACGGGAUCGUUUUAUUAGCAGCCAGACUGUAGAAAUAAACAGUUGUAAGAGGACAAAUGCUUUUCAACGAUAUGAAUGUAUGCUAAAAUACUUAACUUAAUACUGUGGAAGAGUUGCUGCUGCGGACGUUCUAUUUAAGUACUCUUUAGACAGAGGCCGUAUCGAAUCUAACCUUGAGAUUCGAUUAGAUGUUACGUACCCAAGAGGGGACUCACCGAUCGACGUACUACGCUAUCUUUUAAAAACCUAUGUUUUCCACGUAUUUACAUAAUACUUAUUACGUUACCAAGGAUGAGUUGCUUAUAAUAAGGCAAUACCGGCUGACCCACAGGCUGCGUAUUGAUAAAAUGUUGGACAUUUUUUUCGGAUUUUUAUGCAGCUGGCUACCAUCGGUCGAUUUUAGCUUUCAUUUUCAGUAGAAAAAAACACCUUAUCCACCUUAGUUAUUAUCACCAAGAAUUUCGUGCAAACCCCAAUGUAAUGAAUGGCUAAAAACUCUAAUGAAAUACAGCAAAAAACGUUAAGUGCAAAAAUUAUGGUCAUUUGGUUUCCUUUGAUUUACCCAAGUCGAGAUAUCUGAUUUUUACUAAUUACGUGCGAACACAUAGCUGGCUUCGCAUUGUAUAGUUUCCUUCUCGAGUCACCGUACCUCGGGUGUUUUAAUGAUACAGCGAAGUAGGACGUAACGAAUUAUUUAAUUUUCCUAAUAUAUACACAACGUAGCGAGCUCUGGUUACUGAAACGAUCAAUUUCAUGCGCAAAGAAGGAGAGAAUUGCCCGUGGAACGACUGCUUGCUCGGCGUUGGCCUGUGCUGUACUGUUAUUGCCUGGAGGAGGAAGGGGAGUGGUGCGUCAGCUUCUGUAAGCCGCUGGCGAGGCGGCCUAGCAGUCUAACAACCUCGCUUGCCUGCAUUGUCGGGACGGCUUUACGCAUCACAACGGUCAACGGUUUGAAACAGCUGAAACACAUUCCAAAUGGAAUAGAGCAGUAACAGUUCUUGUAGAGGGUGACAUCGAGAAACUACAGAAGUUAAGACUAAGUGUACUAGCCAAUGUGUAUGUGUGUGCUUAGUGCUUUUUGUGAGUGAUGUUAGCAAUGUUUUGCUUCCGACUCUACUAGUCGCUCGUUGUGGUAUUCGAGGAGCUUCGUAUAGUGCUGUUCCUUCAAGUCGGAAAACAGCGUCAUCAGGACUUACGGAGCUCAUCAUACCCGCCAAGAGAGUGUAUAAAUUUCAUUUGAUCUUCAACAGGCUGCACAUAGCGAUCGUCCCGGCCUAGGUGCUCGGUGUGCUACUACUAAGAUUGUUGCAAAAAUUACUGAUCUAAUUACGAGAGUGAAAAUCCACAGUCUAGAAUCCAAGGUUUGUUUGCUGCUCGAACGAGGUGUUGCGAUGUCCGCGAUUCAUCAACUUGUGAGGCUGUCUGUCCUCCUCGGAGAAUAGAUCUAGACUCGUCUCGUCGUCUCAAUGGUGUCGGAGGCAGCGUCCUGCGUCGGGAAGGUGCAGCUGGCCUGGGACAUUCCUCCUGCGGAAGCUAUAGAACCGCUUCUCCUGCGACCGAAACCGCUAUGAGAGUUCGCGGCGAGGUGCUUCGCGCCCUCUUGUUAAUCCUUCUAUCAGUCUGCCUUGUGGUUUCCCUGUGGCUUUCAAUUGCGCUAGGCAGUUGGCAGGAAGAGAUACAGACGACUACAAUAGGAACUGGAUGCUCUUUGGAGCAGAAUCUCACCUGUACAGGUGCCUGUACAAAUAAAUUAUGGUAUGACUGCUCCGAGUAUCUGGGUGGAAAGGGCUGCUUCGUGUCUUAUUGUGUUCCAUGCACGGACCCUAUCUAUUCGUACGAUGGGCAGGAAUGUCCGUUCCUAUAUGCCGAAAAAGAAGAAUGCCCCUCAUAUUGCUGGCAUCAGGUUCCGGAGCCCGACGAGGACCUCUUUGACGAGGAGAAAUUUGAAGAGGACCAGGAUGAUGAGCUAUAUUGAGCACAGAAAGCCAAGCCACUACUAAAUGUUUAAGUGAAGGACAAAGAGAGGGCAUUUCUUUUAGAGAGGGUGCGCCACCUUCACAAGCGAUAUUUUUGCUCGUUUCAAUAAAUAGGGACAGAAAACAUUCCCACUGGCUAAAUGAAUUUUAGGACUAGUAGUCAAAAGGAUGAAAUCGUUCUUGUACACUUCAACUGAUACAGAACGUUUGAAAAGUGAGAGUAGGAGACGAUUCACAUAUGUCGCAGCGUCGAGCGAUCGAGUGAACAUGUCCGGCGCCAUAAAUGCACAAAGCUUCAGUGGGAACGCUUCCGUUAUGAAGAGAGAACUUAGGCCACAAUUAAUACCACCUAGCUUUUAAAUAACUCAGAACAGUCGAUUUCUUUAUUUGAAAGCGGAUAGCUUUUACAAAGUUGCCCUUCGUAGUGCAUAGCAAAAAAAUAUAUAUGUGAAGUAAGAUAUAAAUUGUAAAUUAGCAGACGAUCGUAAAUGACAAAUCGUGGAAACCGGUAGCACUUUUGUUAUUCGUAAAAGUACAUCUAAUAAUGAUUUUAACAGUAAUAUGAGCCUAUUGUUUGAGCGCUUUGCGUUGACCACUGAUAGUGUAAUUCACGGAUGUUUUUCUCCUCUAUCUACAGUUUCAGUAUAUGACAAAUAAUGGACUCAUUAUUAAAAUUAAUAUGGAUCAUUGAGUCAUUUACUGUUAUCACAUGUUGUUUACUUACACUCGUACUAAUUGAUUUGGAUGUUAGUAUUUCAAAAUUGCCCAUGUUGCUCUGUGUAAAGAAGAGAACGUCUGCCGGUUGAGAAGCAGUUGUUACUAGGUGCAAGUUUCUAUGGCUGAAUCUGUAUAAUGAUACGCACGUAUGUAGCAUACGUACGGUUGGUUAAGGUUUCUUCAUGCAUAUACUAUUCGAAUUUGCAGACUCGGAAAUUGUUAUAGACCAAAACGGAGUCAUCUUUCAAGAAAGUAGGCGUUUCUUUAGAGCUUAGAAGUGAAGACGUCAUUCUGUAUCAGGCUGCCCCAUGACGCCGAUACUAUAGAAACACGUCACUUUCAAAGGAGGAAGAUGUAGAUACUAGAAACAUGUGAACUUUUUGCAAUUAUGCAAAACUGGAUGCAAAAUGCUACCUUCGCUUAUGAAAAAUCAAAUGAUGUUCUAACAAGACUCAAACGAUGAAGAGCCCGAUACGUCGACUGGCAAUCAUUGUGGACUGCUUUAUGCUGCAUUCUCAGGCUGAUACAUCCUUAUGCAUAUGAGAAGAAGCGUGCAUCCAUAACCGUAAUAAUAACCACCGAAUUCGCAGAGGCAGCCCAGACACCAAAGCCUUUUUGACCAAAACUCUAUUUACAGGCGAACUUAGUUUAAAAUUUAAAGGGUUGUCUGGGCAAAAAAAAA